rnacentral:lncRNA from 1 species
GAUGUGAUGUAUCAAGAUGAGCAACAAAAGAAGAAUCCCAAGAUAAUCACGUAAUUAUGUUAGGAGAGAUUCUCAGUUCGAUCUAAUCCUGUCUAAACAGGCUGAAAGAAAUUAGUCACUCAGAAUUAUAUAAAAGGCUCUAUUGAGGCUUGCAAUGGUAAACAACAGACCCUGGAGUAUGGGGACAACACCAAGGUACUGCCAUACUUGAGGAGGAGAUGGCAUUUCUCAGGAUCAAUUCAACAAGAAGAGCUAACUAUCCUAAAUAUAUAUGCACCCAAUACAGAAGCACCCAGAUUCAUAAAGCAAGUCCUUAGUGACCUACAAAGAGACUUAGACUCCCACACAAUAAUAAUGGGAGACUUCAACACCCCAUUGUCAACGUUAGACAGAUCAACAAGACAGAAAAUUAGCAAAGAUAUCCAGGAAUUGAACUCGGCUCUGCACCAAGCGGACCUAAUAAACAUU